UCUCUCUCAAAAUAAAUAAAUAAACAUUAAAAAACAACAACCCACAAUUGCCUAAAUGUGCCUGCCCAAUUAAGUCUGUAGACAAAGGUCAUCUUCCUACCAUUGACAGUUUAGAGUGGGGAAGUUCAUUUUUGUAGAUACUCCGAAGUGGUCUGCAGGGGCCAAGAAUGUUCCGUAUCUCGAUGGCAGGGGUUAUAUGGUUGUACACAUAUGCAAAAAUUCAUCAAGCUGUACACGUCAGGUGUGUGUAUUUUCGUAUAAGUGUUAUCACGCUUCAGUUAAUUUUUAUCUUUUUAAUAUCCUGCAAGAUGACCAAUACACGUCUGUGUGUUCCUUAGUGUGAUAGUCAACCCUGUGAUCUUCAAUUUGCCUUUCUACUAAGUGUAUUUACUCAGAGGUGAAGACGUAGCCUGGCUGAGGCCCUGAUGGUAGGAAACCCAAUAUGAAUUGGGGGGUCAAGUUCUAAUUGGUAUUAAUAUGGGUGUAUUUGCCUGAAGUCUCUUCUGGGACGUAAUAUAUCCCUCAGAUCGUAUGUCAACAUAAGAGACAUUUAGAGACUGAGGAUAACCUGAAAGACGAUGACUACGAUAAGGCUUCUAAACCUUUCCCCAAACGAUUCAGGUAGACAUAUUCAGAAAGAUAACUUGUCUUCUAUCAUAAAUAAAGCCAAUCAGAGUCAUUAGUUUUCAGGGAAACCACCACAUUUGCUGUUCCUUUCGAGAAGGGUUAUAAUGAGCCUAGGAUUGGAGAUCUGUGUUCGAGUUCUGCCCCCGUCCUUUACUAGCUGUGUGACUGUGGGCAGGUCACUUAACUGUGACUGAGCUUCAGUUCUCCAUCUAUAAAAGAAUGGUAAUAAGCGAGAUUCCCCUCCUUCCGGGCUGCUCUGAGAAAUAGAUGACACACACAAGCAGCGUUUGGAAAACGGGGAAGUCUCAUUAUUUUGGCCCCCACUCCUAUUUCCUUUAACGGCAUUAAUCACUUUUUUUUUUUUUUUUAAUUUUCAGUGCCUCUUUUGAACUUAUCUUCUUAGGCACCCUCCUGAAGGGAUCUUUUUCUUCAUAAUUACUUCUAAGGUUAAGUGACUACCAGGAUUUGAUUCAGCAGCCCCUUCCAUCCGGCCAAUACAUCAGGACACCUUGCCUGAGUUUCAUCUUGCUUUUUUCUGUUUCCGCAUCUGUAUAUAGCUUCUUCCUGUCUUUCUGGAUCUUUUGCAGUUCCAUCUUCUAAUUCCCUCUGCUUACAAUAUUAUCCCUCUUUGAAAUCUCAUUAUCAACUGCGGCCAACGGGGGGAAGGACAGAGUUUCUUGAUUUCUUUUAGUAAAUUUCAAUUACUGUAAACUUCUUCGGUUACAUAAGUGAGAUGAGUAAGAAAUGAUGGCUGAUGGUACAGAGAAAGUGGAGUUUUCUUUUUGAGAGGUGGGAUUACUCCCACAUAAGGAAAAGCUUGCUGUUUUUCAGAAACGACUGGAGAGAGUGAUGAGAGAGGGAGCCAGAGUUGUUAGAAUAUUUGAGAGAUUAGCUUAGAUCCACAUCUGGAGUACCUGCUAUUUAGAAGGCAUUGUUUUAGGUUCUUACGUUUCUUAUCCAAUUUGAUCCUUGUCACCUUUCUACAGGUUCGCUGUUGUUUUCUCACUUUUACAAAUGUUGAGACUGAGGUUAGCUCCUACAAAGUCACACAGCAGGUUAGUUGGAGAAGAUCUAUUUGGAUGCAGACGUAUCAAAAUACAAAGCUAAUACUUCUUCCAAAAACUAUUCUUCAGUGGUCCUUGUCUUGUAGAGUUUGGUGGGUCUACAACCGGGUAAAUAUAAGAGAUAAGCUUUGGUAAUAGAAUACUGACUUGCUAGCCACAUGGCUUAUGUCUGGGAUAUAUUUCCUUUUUAUAAGAGUGUAAAAUCGGGGCAGCUGGGUGGCUCAGUCGGUUAAAUGUCUGACUUUGGCUCAGGUCGUGAUCUCACAGUUUGUGGGUUCGAGCCCCACGUCAGGCUCUGGGCUGACGGCUUGGAGCCUGGAGCCUGCUUCAGAUUCUAUGUCCCCCUCUCUCUGCCCCUCCCCUGCUCAUUCUCUUUCUCUCUCAAAAAUAAAUAAAUAUUUUUCUAAAAAAGAGGGCAAAUGAGGAAGUAAGAAGAGAAGGACGAAAGGGAGGGAGGAAGGAAGACAAAUGGUCCCUUUUUCUGCUUCUACUGAGGACUGCUCAAAAACAAUAACAAUUUUUAAAAUACUGGUCUUACAUUGCUUUGGUAGAAAGUUCUGUUACUUUUAAAGAAGGUUUCUCAGAAAAUGGGUUAUUAGAUGUAGGAAUGGGCCACCCAGCAAUUAAUAGAAUUAACCUUAAUGAAAAUUAUCAUGUCUAAGGUGUACCUAAGAUCAAUGAUGGCCAGAUUCAAGGACAACAGGGAUUUGACUCAAAAGCCUGCAGGGCAACUAUAAUUUUAUAAUGUAAUUACUUCCUUUAGUAUUAAUUUAAAUGUAGUCCAAUUGAAAGCUUUGAGAAGACCAUCUGAGUAUGUCCUCAUGGGGACACAUCUGUUUGCAGACCCAAACGGCUAGAACGACACAGUUAUCAACAUUUAAACACACUAACGUGAACAUGAGUAACAUUACUGAGACACUGAGAUAUACACAGAUACUUGUUUGUGAAGUUAGCAUAUUGCUAGGAAACAUGUAUGAUUAAAAGGAAAUAAGAGGGCCUUACAAGUUUGUUCAUUCUUUCAGAAAAAUAGACAUUGUUUUUCACUACAAAGUCAACGGUGAUCCUUUUCCUUGACUCAGAGGCCCUGCUGGAGCAUUACUAGGUCAGAGAGUGACUCAGAUUUAUGGUCCAAACAAGUUCCGGAUUUGAGCAGCGCUGUACAUCAGCUCUCAUGGCCCUGCUGGUGAAUCAUAGCAGCUACCCCUACAUUCCUGGGACCUUUUUCAGCUCCGCUCAGCUGUGAUUCCCCAGAUCCAUUGCUCAAGAUUAACAGAAUAUAACACACGAAGAUCAGAGGUCAGCUCUGAAAUACAAAAGCAUCAUGCCCAAAUGUCAAAAACAAGGUCAGCAAUAAAUCAUGUUGGAAAGAAGCAGAAGGUCAUAAAUAGAAGACAAGAGAUUAUAAAUCAUAAUUCACAACACGGAGCACCACCAUCCUAAGAGAAUGGACUAAAAAGUAACAACAACAGCUAAGACAAUGACCGCAAAUAACGCAGGUCAGCAAUCUGAAGUUUAGAAGGAAAAGACCAGAAAUGUUCCAAGGGUCCAGAGGAAAGGGCAAAGGGCACAGGUCACAGGAUUAGACAGACUAACUAGGUAUCAAAACAAUGUUUGUUGGCUUGCUCAUUGUUUUUCAUUCUGGAAAAUGCCAAAUCUCUAGUUAUUAGACUUUUUGUUGGUUCUUGGAAGUCACUCUAGAAGUGCAGAGUCACUUAGAGGACGCUAAGAAUAAAAUCUCGUGUGCUUAAUUAAAGACAUCCCUAAUAUCUUGGAGGCAAAAUGCUGAAAAUCUUAGAGUAAGAAGGGUAAACUUACAUCACAUUCUUCUGGUAUCACUCAGCAAUGCUAAAAUAUCCAGACUUUUUUCAAUAUGUAAGAGCAUAUCCUUGACAUGAAGAGAACAAUGAUUUUACUCUAAAUCAGAGAUAAGCCACAACCACAAAUCUCACUGUCAGCUUUCUUGGUCAAUUGCAAAGCUAACGAUGGUUUAAAACUACUAAUGACCAUACAUCAUGUUUUUCUUGUGAUGAAACAUAAUUACAAUGUGUUAAUACUUACGAAUCACAUUGAGGUUCUCAGACGAGGUGAAGUGAAAAGAAGUAAAUAAAUAUUACAUAAAUAAGUAAUUAUACAAGCAAUUAAUGCCUCUCAAAUUGUGGAUUGUAAAUUUGAAAACACUAAUUGCCUUACAGGACUGAGGCCUGCACACAACAUGGGAAGGGUUGCUGUUUAGAGUGAAAUCAACCCCUCUCUGAUUUGACUUUCAGAUCAAGUGAAACAGAAAGAAGAAAAUGAGGUUCUAAUCUAUUUGAUUUUUUCGUACUGCUGGAGACAUUAUGUAUUAGUUGAAUAUAGUUGACUUAAGGAUACGGGCAAGGGAAUGUGUAUGAUCUUUUUCUUUUUUGUGGUCAUAUACAGUUAGUGCGUGCAAAAAGCUUUUAAAUAGAUUUAAAAUAUCUGAUGGCCAGAACAGUCAGAAAGAAAUAUAUGUGGGAGUAACUCAGUCUUUGAAUCACAUUCAGAUGAGAUGUAAACAUUAGAUAUUUUAAAUGCCCACAUGUAAUUAUUGAAAACUCAAUUUUUGUAUUUUCUUUUUUUAGGUGUAAUAUUUUAAUCUUUCAUGAAUAGGAAGAAAAAUGGGGAAAAAUGGGGAGUGGUAAAUCACAUUUCUAGUUACUAAGUCUUUUCAAACCGAAGCUUUGGCAACUCAGUAUUCCAGAUCAUUUUGGGAGUUUUAAAUAUUAAGACAAGAAUCCAGUUUGCCAUGCAAUACGAAGCAUUUGGGAAUAUCAGAAGCUUACUGUUCCCCCAUUCAACAAUUCUCUAGAGAUUCAUCUGUAACAACUAGAAGUAGGAAAUUUUUUCUUUAUUCUCAUUUGACUGCUUGAAAAUGACUUAAGGUAAAAUACCUUGAAAUUGCCCUAGAAUCAAAGGGGUUUUCUUUGUAGCUUUUCACAAAAAUAACUGCACAGGUUAUUAUUCAAACCCAAACGAGCUUUGAACCUGGGCCCAGAUCAAACAAUAAGAAAUUUGGCCCUAUUUUAUUGGCUUCUUUAUACUCUACUAUAUUUUCUGAAUUUCCUACGAUGGACAUAUAUCACUUUUAUAAUCAGAAGAAAACAUCCCAUAAAGAAGUUUUAGUUCAGAUGAAACACGCUCAGGGCCCAUAGAAAUGAGAAAAUAGGCUGGAGCCCAUGGCGUGAGUUCUUACAAGCAUCAUCGUGGGAGUCCGUGCACAGUUUUAAGAACAAUUCCUUAUGUUUAGUAACAAACACUUGGAUGAUGUAGAUGAUGGAACUAUUACUCCCACCCCAGCCCCUUUACCGAUGAGCAAUGAACGAUGUGUACACUUACAUAAUUUUCUUCUGCACGGAGGUUAAAAAGUAAAUUGUCUAGCAGCAUUAUAAACAACACGAAGGCUGCUUUAAAUAAAUCUGAAGCUGAGUUUGCUCUGGACAGUGUUAAGCCAUCUGAGAUUUCUGCUAGGGAGAGGCUGUCAGGCCCAUCAAAGGCAGCAAGGAUGAGCUUCUCAACUGAAAAUUAUUGUUUUCAGGAGUGUAAAGAGAGGCAACACGGUCUCAUAAAAAUUUGGAGUGAUCAAAGCAGCACAAUACGGAGCCUCUAGAUUUAACACCCACUCUGAUAUUUACAAGCUCUUUGACCCCGGGCCAUUUGCCUAACCUCUCUGAGCCUCUGUUUUCAUUUACAAAAUGGCUAUGUUAAUAAUAGAACCUGUUUGGAGGGUUAUUGGAAGGAUUAAACUAGGUAAAUUGUUUGUAGGAUAUCCACCAGCACAUGGUAGAUAACUUUUAUGGAAACCUAUAUGGUCUACUCCCCUUAUAUGACAGUGGUGUUAAAUGAAGAACAGCGUCUGAAUGUUUUAAAAUGUAUUUAUCGCACAGUAGACUAUGCUGGACGCACCGGGUUCCCUUACCUUCAUGCUAAGAGAAUUAUCUGUGUAGAACCUUCAAUCGGGCCCUAAAAUGAUGCCACCUAAGUAGCUACUCACUCUAGACAUGGCAUGUAGAAUUUCCUUGUACAAAAUUAGAGAGAGCUUAUGUUUGUAGUUAAGGUGUUGGAAGGAGUCCUAGAGGGGAAAUCAUGUGCCACUGGCAGAUAAGAAUCUGCUUAUAAUAUGUAUGAUAAACCAUUCCCAAAUGUUCACUUGGAGUGAGAGAGUUGCUAACAAGUUGCCCCUGAUGCAUUUCUCACCAUCACCCUAUGCAGCAGGCACUGCUUUAAUCUCUGGAGAAGAUUGAAGCUCAGAGAGGUUAAUAACUUUCUCACUGUCAUCCAGUGAGUAAACAAGAGACGGGGCACUUCAGCGUCUAACCAUAAAUGGGAACAUCCAUUUAUUUGAGAAAAAACCCUGUUAGUCUCACCCUUUUUAGAAACGGUGGUGGGGAGGAAAUAAACCCGCAGAGGAAGGGAGGAAUAAGGAGGAAAAAUUCAGCCAGCUGUUUCUUUUGUUGGAGGACAGAACCAACCACAAUUGCCCAAGAAGGCAAAUCGGACACUGGGGUGCAAAGACACUCUUCUAGGGAAUCCAAAGAGAGGUUAUGCCUUCAAAAGGGGUGAGCGGUGGCUUGGUUCCCCCCCCCCCCCCCCCCCCCCCCCCCCCCCGCCUUCUCCCCUCGAACCUGUUUGUCUCUGGGAAAUGAAACAGUUUUGGUUUGCAAGCUGUCGCCAGGGAGUGGGGCAAGACUUUGUGUAACAAACAAGAGCGACUGCCAGAGCCCCCAGCCAGCCUCUCCGGGGCCAGACUGCCAAGGAAACCUGGCGUUGUGACAACAAGGUCCAUUCAGCACAACCAGUGGUCACUGAGGAGCGGCUUUGGAAAGGACAGCCAUGUGAGGCUCAGCAGGGGAAGAGUGCCGCCUCCCAGUAGUGAAUUGUGUAAGCUCUUAAAAUCCCUCCAGCCUGGAACACCUGGAAAUAAGUACAAUUGUGUGUGUG
rnacentral:lncRNA from 1 species